rnacentral:rRNA from 1 species
CCCUUAGAUGUUCUGGGCUGCACGCGCGCUACACUGAUGCACUCAACGAGUUUACGACCUUGCCCGAUAGGGUUGGGUAAUCUUUUUAAACUGCAUCGUGAUGGGGAUAGAUUAUUGCAAUUAUUAAUCUUCAACGAGGAAUUCCUAGUAAGCGCGAGUCAUCAGCUCGUGCUGAUUACGUCCCUGCCCUUUGUACACACCGCCCGUCGCUCCUACCGAUUGAGUGCUCAGGUGAAUAAUUCGGACUGCAGCAAUGUUUGGAUCCCGAACGUUGCAGCGGAAAGUUUAGUGAACCUUAUCACUUAGAGGAAGGAGAAGUCGUAACA